rnacentral:lncRNA from 1 species
GUCCUUUAACUCCUUGAACAAUUGAUUUCAUUCACCUCGCAGCGCCUCCUUGCACCAAGCGCGGCGUGAUAAGUAUGAGGCCCCACAAACGGCGGGAACUGGAGAUAACUGCAGCUGUACAUCAGGUCCCAUCAGGAGGCGGCAGGUUCUCCGUACUGUGGACUCCAUAUAUUAGCACUCAGAAAAGUUGAAUCAGCACACAAGUCCAUUUCUUGAAAGGUAUUAAUCGCUUUAAAGGGAAAGAAUAAUAACAGGGCGAUAGAGAGUGAAGGAAGGAGACGGGGAGAAAUGCAAUCUGUUAGGAGACUGGGACAGAACAAAUGAAAAUUAGAGCGGUAGUUUGCUGUCACGAGAGAAGCCUAACCGGUGAGCUACACUUCUCGGAAUAGCAUUUUGCUCCUGUAGUAACUCCUGGGAAUCAGCGGACUCUUAUAUGACCAUAAACCACAGCUGGUGACUAGGGAUCUAUAUAAAGGCAUUGUCCUGACUUAUUCCAUCAAGGCUGGCAUUAGAUGGUUGGGACCUCCAAGGGAAUGAACCCAGGGUCUCAGCUUCCAAAAGUUAGCUCCAAGUAUGCGUGUGAGGGUUCUCAAAGGGAAGCCAUAGGCAGCCCAUCAUGACUUUUUACUUAGGGAUGAAGCUGGUUCAGUUCAUCUGGCUUCUCUCAUCAGGUUUCACCCCCCCUCUUCCCACAGCUGGAUGUGUACACUGAUUCCACCCAACAAACUGCACAAUGGGAUGGAGAUAAGUUGAUCUGUGAUGGCUCAUCUAUGCAAACAAGUGACCACGAUGCAGACGUCAUCAGAUGUUGAGAAUGCAUAGCUGAAUAGGCCCACAAUGAAGGACAAACUGCAGAGAUCCCAAGGACUGAAAAAAAUGAGAAGCACAAAAGAAUAGAGCACUAAAGGGAAGUAGAAAGCUCUUUGGAGACUCAGGGAUUCCUAUAGGCUGGUGUCCAAAGAAAUCACUCAUCAAUCACAGCUCUGAUUUCACUCAUUGGCUAAAAACAUCGAAAGGUGGGGGAAAUCCCUUAGAAGUGUCUUAACUUUCUUUCUACGAGGGCCUCUGCUGAUAUGGGUUCUGAUGUCAUUCACCCAGUUGUACCAUUAUAAACCAGAGGGGAGUGAGGAAAACCCUUGAGUGCUCCAGAAAUGUGUGGAAGAAUUGGUGUUCCCUGGAGGAGCCCAUGGAAGCACGUGCCAGGCAGAUGUCUUCUUAUGCUCUCACCACUUCUGACACCAUCGUGCUGAAGCAACAUGGGUGGCAGGGCCCAUUAGGUUAAAAGCUUCUUCUUGGAACAAAGCAGAUUUCAGCUGUUAACCCCAGCAGACCCACCCAGGUGGCCUCCCCACUAUAAACUCAAAUGGGAGGACCAAGUGGAAAUGGCCCAGUGUCUUCCAUUAAAACUAAACCCCUUGUUUCCAUUUUAAAUACGAGGCAAUUGAGAAAUCUUUGCAGGAUUACAACGUACAGUAUUCUUAAUUGGAAUAGGUUAAUGCAUUACUUACCCUUUUUAUUGCAUCUGUGUGCUAUAACAUUAUUGAACUCUUAAUAUUUGGAAAGUGUUUUUUCUUUUGCUGUUGUCUACCAACAGUCAUUCCACCAAGGAGUGAUGGGUAGUGGUGUAGUGGUUAAGAGCAGUAGACUCGUAAUUUGGGGAACCAGGUUUGCGUCUCCGCUCCUCCACAUGCAGCUGCUGGGUGACCUUGGGCCAGUCACACUUCUCUGAAGUCUCUCAGCCCCACUCACCUCACAGAGUGUUUGUUGUGGGGGAGGAAGAGAAAGGAGAAUGUUAGCCACUUUGAGACUCCUUUGGGUAGUGAUAAAGCGGGACAUCAAAUCCAAACUCUUCUUCUUCAUCAUCAUCUCUUAUCUCUUCAUUGGCUCAUCUAAGAGAUCUGUAACUUUGAACUCCUUGAAUCCUUUCAUUCCAGCUGCUAGUCACAAUAAUUCCAACUUCCCCUUUUUCCUCCUCCCUCCCAUCCCCCUUUCCUUUUGUGCCUUGACUUUCAGAUGGUAAACUUGAGGGGAGGAGCUGUCCUUUUUCUAUUUUGGAAACUGGCAGAAUUCUUUGUCUGUUCUCUAAGAAUUCGCACACAUUUUGACAUAGCAUGCCCAAUUUUUUCAUGAGAGCUCCUGAGGUCAAGGAGCAGGUUUUUGUCUCAGUUUGGAUACAGUUGGGCAUCAUUUUGGUGUUCCUGAAUCCUAAUUAUGUAGUCUUUAAUACAAGGAACUUCCUUCCCCAUAGCCUCUCUCAAGGUCCCCCGGCCCCUUUGAAAAUUUCAGUGGAUGAGAAUGUUAUGCAGGUGUGUGUAUUGGCUGGGUGUCAGCUUCCCAUUUCCUUGCCCCCCAACCUAGAAAAUUUUGUUAUGAGAUUUGCAACAAGCACCUGGAUGAAGAUCUUGGGGCAUUUGCAAUUUUCCUUUUGACAGUUAAGUGUAAACCAGCAAUUAAAAAAAAAUAUGCCCUAUUCAUUGAGAACAUGUCUUUUUGCAUUCUUUUUAUAGGUAGAGGAGAGGCAUGGCUUCCUCAGCGAAGCUAAUGAAGGUUUUUUUGUGUGUUUUUUAAGGAGAAAAACCUCCAAGUCCAUAAUGUAUCAAUUAACACAAGUUUACUGCAAUGUGAUUUUGUUCAGAAUGUGAGUUGACACUUGAAAGACAAAAGAAUCCUGGCACAGGGUUACAUCAGCAAUAUGGAUUCCUAGUUUAUGUUACACAAAAACUUUGGCAAACUAUUACAAACCAUUGUCAGUAUGAUUAUCGUGCCACGUUAACAUUGUUUGAAGGCUUUUCGGCAUUGCAAAGAAAAAGGCUUUCAAAAUGUUUGUGCUUCUCAUGACGAGAAACAUACUCUUGAGCCUGUUCCAUGAGUCUUGAUAGCAAUCAGGGGGUCCCCUGGGCAACACCGGAGAAGAGCUUUUACCCUUGCAUGUUGUUAAAUGGGUUAGCUCAGGACACGAUCCCCACCGGGAUGAACUUCUGCACAAGCUCUGUUGAAAUGCAUGGGAGCUGCACAAUAGCAUCUUCAUUUCUGAAAUCUGGGAUAUUGAAGAGAAAGAAUAGGAAACCAAAUCCAAUGAGGAAUGCCUGAAAGAGACAUGUAUGCUUCUCCUACAGAAGAUAAGAUCAAGAGGAAACCUGAUAGCUCUCUUCAAGUCCACUUUCCCCCACCUCCCAUUCACUAUUGGCAAAUAAAACAAUACACAGCUGUAGCUUGUUUCCUUUUGACAGAAGUGGAUGGAAUUUUAGGCAAACUAACCCCUCCAGAGUGUCUGCUAAAUUGCAUGCAAAUAGGCCCACAAAAAUACAAUUUGGGGGUGGAAAGAACUAAAAGGAAUUCAUUUCCCUGAUAAAAUAAUUUCCUCUGAUUACAAGCUAACCCUCUCAGUUGUGAAGGAACUCCCUCUCCUCUGUUCCCAUCCUGCCAUCUUAAGUUUUACCCUUACAAAACUGCUCCCUUCUCCAAACCAAGGACAGUUCUGAUGUUUCUGGACUACAAGUCCCAUCAUUCUUUACCACUGCUCAUUCUCACUUAAUGGAUCCAGAGAAGGGGUCGUUUCCAUAGUUGUACCUGGAUUAUGGGACACCUUGCCUGUUGAGAUUCAAAUGCCCCUCUCUUUUUUUCUGACGGUUAGUGAGAAUGUUUAGUUAACCUAAAUAAGGAUUUGUUCAAUAACGUUUUUAUCCAUCUUGCCUGCCAUUCCCCCCCUUUUCUUGUAUGUUAUUGAUUAAUUGUGAAUGGGAUUUUAAGCCAUAUUGAGUGGCGUGUAAGUUUCAGAAUGGUAAGGAAGGAAUCUUAUAAAUAAACAGAAACAAAUACUUCUAG